GUCCUUGUAGCUCAGGGGAUAGAGCGCUGCCCUCCGGAGGCAGAGGCCGCAGGUUCAAAUCCUGCCAAGGACGCCA
rnacentral:tRNA from 1 species